AAAUAAGUAGGGAAGCACGUGAGCUGACUGUCAAGAAAAGCCGCUAUUGUUUGCAGGAUACCCGUACCGUAAACCGACACAGGUGGAUGAGGAGAGAAUCCUAAGGCCGACGGGAGAAGCAUUGUUAAGGAACUCGGCAAAAUGACUCCGUAACUUCGGGAGAAGGAGUGCCAGUAAGAUGGCCGCAGAGAAUUGGCCCAAGCAACUGUUUAGCAAAAACACAGGUCUAUGCAAAACCGAAAGGUGAGGUAUAUGGGCUGACGCCUGCCCGGUGCUGGAAGGUUAAGGGGAGAGGUUAGCGCAAGCGAAGCUUUGAACUUAAGCCCCAGUAAACGGCGGCCGUAACAAUAACGGUCCUAAGGUAGCGAAAUUCCUUGUCGGGUAAGUUCCGACCCGCACGAAAGGCGUAAUGAUUUGGGCACUGUCUCAACAAUGCACCCGGUGAAAUUGAAAUACCAGUGAAGAUGCUGGUUACCUGCGCCAGGACGGAAAGACCCCAUGGAGCUUUACUCCAGCUUGAUACUGGGAUUCGGUAUUGCAUGUACAGGAUAGGUGGGGGGCUAGGAAAUGGUAACGCCAGUUGCCAUGGAGCCAAUGUUGGGAUACCACCCUUGCAGUACUGGGUUUCUAACCAGCAGCCGUGAUCCGGCUGGGGGACAAUGUCAGGUGGGGAGUUUGACUGGGGCGGUCGCCUCCGAAAGGGUAUCGGAGGCGCUCAAAGGUUCCCUCAGAAUGGUUGGAAACCAUUCGAAGAGUGCAAAGGCAGAAGGGAGCUUGACUGCGACACCGACGGGUGGAGCAGGUACGAAAGUAGGACUUAGUGAUCCGGUGGUAUAAAGUGGGAUUGCCAUCGCUCAACGGAUAAAAGCUACCCUGGGAUAACAGGCUUAUCACUCCCAAGAGUUCACAUCGACGGAGUGGUUUGGCACCUCGAUGUCGGCUCAUCGCAUCCUGGGGCUGAAGUAGGUCCCAAGGGUUGGGCUGUUCGCCCAUUAAAGCGGUACGCGAGCUGGGUUCAGAACGUCGUGAGACAGUUCGGUCCCUAUCCGGCGUGGGCGUAAGAUAUUUGAGAGGAGCUGUCCUUAGUACGAGAGGACCGGGAUGGACUGGCCGCUGGUGUAUCUGUUGUCUUACCAAAGGCAUAGCAGAGUAGCCAAGCCGGGAAGGGAUAAACGCUGAAGGCAUCUAAGCGUGAAGCCCCCCUCAAGAUGAGAUAUCUCAUAACGUCAAGUUAGUAAGACCCCUUGAAGACGACGAGGUAGAUAGGGCAGAGGUGGAAGUGUGGUACACAUGGAGCUGACUGUUACUAAUAGGUCGAGGGCAUAACC
rnacentral:rRNA from 1 species